UAUUUCACAAGUCUGUUGAACUCUGUCAGACUGCUCUCCAAACAGGCCCCCGUGUGGGGUCAUCCCGAUGACCGGAGGCGUUCUGGGAUCGUCCCCUCUGGGUCAGGCAGGGACCCAGUGUCCUGACCAGAUUCCAGGAGGGGCACCUGGCUCGGGGAUAUCUCCUGCCGGCCGGUGUGGUAUUUCUUUCAAGCCACCGCUUGAGGCUGAGCCACCAGAGUGGUGCUAACAAAGCUCUCUGGCAGGUAGUGUCGGAACUCUCCGGUGUCUGAGG